UUCCCUGUGGCUCAGUUGGUAGAGCAUGGUGUUUGCAACGCCAGGGUUGUAGGUUCGAUUCCCACGGGGAAA
rnacentral:tRNA from 1 species